AAUUGUCUUGACGUUUCUGUUAUUCAGACCUGAUAAGAAAUGUCAAAGAAGAUAGAGAAAUUCCAGAACGAAUCUAUUCGUGGUAAAGAUGUGCGCACAUUAGGAGGUAUUGGAGAAAAACACGGCGAGAAGUUAGAAAAGAAAGGUUAUCGGAAAGCUGCCGAUGUCGUUAAAGAGUUCUUGCGCAACGGAAAAUCUGAAAAAAAAUUCAAAGAAUUUCUGGAAAAAAAAGUCCCUGGUGCCAAUAGAAAACAUAUUAGAGAUUGUUACGAGUCAGUGAGGGGUUGGUGCAAGAAUCAUAAAGAUGAAAAAAAAAAAUUACAGGACAAACUUUAUAGGGCAGAGGAUUGAAAGUCGUGAUUUCUCUUGCCGAUUCUGCAUCUGGAAUGAUGAACAUUUUGGCGACAUCGAAGUCAUAUUUCUGGCGUUCUAUUUCAUAACCACAUUGUCAGAUGUAUGGGAAUUCUUCACUAAAACACGUUUAUCUACCAUUUUUCAUAUUAUAUGUUCGUAGAGACAAUUUGAUAGAACACAUGAAACUUGUUUCGAGGAAACGUAUUCCAGUGCAUGGACUUACAUAUUGACAUUUAAUUCUUUUAUGAUACAUCUGUUAAAUACUAUACAUGUUUAUAUGUUUCAUAUAUGUUUUAUAGACAUAUCAUUGGGUUUAUAUAUAGGUAAAGAAGGAAAAUUCUAACUAGCGGAGAAAAUUUUCUUAAACUUUGCAUGAUCAUAGAACAUCAUAUUAGGAACAAUUUAAUGUAAAAAUAAUUGGGGAAACGGUGCUACCUUUUGAGUGUUCUGCCCCUGAAUGCGAGAUUUUUGCUCUUUUUGGUCAUUUUUAAGGGCAGAUAACUCAAAAUCUAGUAUACGGAUACCACAUUUCAUUCCAUAUUAUUUUUUUGUUAUUACAUUUCCAGUUAUUUUGCAAAUUUUUUAACCAUUCUGUCAAACAUAAUUUUUGCUGUGUUUCAAUGUGUAAACAUACUACAUUUUUCUUGAAAAAGGGGGCAUAAUUUGAAGAAUUUUUCUAUUUGUUUGCGUAAGCGACUAUAGUAUGAAUUCCGUCACAUAGAAUUUCUGAAACUUUUGUACAGUUGCAGAAAAAUAAAGUAACAAACACUAUUUGGAAAUCAAUUAAAGUGUUACUAUUCAUUAUUUUGAGUUAUCUGCCCUUGAAAAUGAUCUAAAAUAGCAAAAAAACUCGCAUGCAGGGGCAGAUAACUCAAAAGGUAGCACCUGGAACCCCUAUUUUUUUUGCAUAAUUCUUUUUCUGAUAUGAUUUUUUUUAUAAUCAUGCAAAGUUUAAAGCUGCUUUCCACAGUCUAAUUAAAUUUGGUGAUAGAAAAAAAUAAUUCUACUUGUACGUGGUCGAAUAAUUCUGGUUUCAAUAGUGAAACAUUGAUAAUUGUUAAUUUCGGCGUAUUUUCAAAGAUUUCAGUGGUAAACUACUUAAUGUCGUCGACGACACUUAGCAGUUAUAAAAAUAGCAAAGCAAUAACUAGCUUUGGCUUUUAUUUAUAGAUUUAAAAGGUUACUAGAAUAAACCACUUCAGUAGAGGGGUACCCUACAUCUUUAUAACUUAUUUUUAUAAUGAAUAUUUAAAUGACUGCCUCUUUCGAUAAUAAGACGCCGUGGCGCAGUGGUAAGCGUGGCGGCUCUAGAAUCUUACUUUUGUGAGUUCGAAUUCCAACGGAGAUCAAUAUGUUUUCAUUUCAUAUUUUUUUCAUUUUAUAUUUUGCUAACAUACACUUUAAAAUGAUGAUAAUGUUAAAUAAAUAUGUGCUUGAAAUGCA